UGGGCAGUAUCGCCUGCGAACUGCACCUAUUAUUAAAAUAGAUAGACAUUGCAGCAGUCUGCCUUGAUCCAAAAAAGGACUGGGACAGAGGG
rfam:Bacillus subtilis subsp. subtilis str. 168 complete genome.